rnacentral:rRNA from 1 species
UACGGGGGGGGGCAAGCGUUGUUCGGAAUUACUGGGCGUAAAGGGCUCGUAGGCGGCCAACUAAGUCGGAUGUGAAAUCCCCCAGGCUUAACCUGGGAACUGCAUCCGAUACUGGAUGGCUUGAAUCCGGGAGAGGGAUGCAGAAUUCCAGGUGUAGCGGUGAAAUGCGUAGAUAUCUGGAGGAAUACCGGUGGCGAAGGCGGCAUCCUGGACCGGCAUUGACGCUGAUGAGCGAAAAGCUAGGGGAGCAAAGCGGGG